GCUAGUGUGGUGCAGUGGUUUGAGUGUUGGACUACGAUUCUGGAGACCAGGGUUCGAUUCCCAGCUCAGCC